rnacentral:rRNA from 1 species
UACAGAGGUCUCAAGCGUUGUUCGGAUUCAUUGGGCGUAAAGGGUGCGUAGGUGGUGGGGUAAGUCGGAUGUGAAAUCUCGGAGCUUAACUCCGAAACUGCAUUCGAUACUGCCGUGCUUGAGGACUGGAGUGGAGACUGGAAUUUACGGUGUAGCGGUGAAAUGCGUAGAUAUCGUAAGGAAGACCAGUGGCGAAGGCGGGUCUCUGGACAGAUACUGACACUGAGGCACGAGAGCAUGGGGAGCAAACAGG